ACGUACCGGCUUAUUACGUAUCGGAACUGGUGGUAGAUUCGGACGUGAAAGGGGUCAGCUUCGUGGUGCAACCGUGUGGUGAAGAUGGGUUAUGGAGAAAGCUUGAUGAUUCCCCUAACCUUCUUGUGGACUUGGAGGGUCUCUCGUAGGUUGCUGGAAACAAUGAAACGAUUCAUAAUGUAUAUUACAAAAUUACAUUAAUCUAGAAAGUGGGGAAAACAUGAUAAAAAAACCUGAACUGAUAACAGAUCAUCAUCGUACAACUUCUUAAAAAUAUAAUUAAUGUACAUUAAUUUCCUUGUAUUUUAUAAUUAUAAAGAGAUCUUUUCCUUGUGCUAUACCGCACUAUUCCAUCUCUACAAAUUUUUGUGCUAUACGGUAUUAUCUUCGUUUUGUUGUUAUGCCGUAUAUAAGCAUUUGAAAAGAUUUUAGGUGUCCAUCAAAGAUUGUCUCCUUGAGGAACCUCACUAUUCUAAAACAGAGCCAAAUCUGGGUUCUGCAAUGCUGGCACAAUUUCAGUGUUCAACGAACUAAGCCAUUAAUACAGUGUUCAAUCGCCUUUUAACUGAAAAUUCGAGUAGGCUUGAGCAGCAAUUCAUCGCCUGUAUGCUAAAGAGAUGUGAUGAUGAUAGAGAUAUUGAUACUCCGGUGAUUGAUUGCGGAUCUCUCAUUUGAUUUGCCACUGAGAUGGUUAAGAGAGAGGGAGACCACGUGCAUGUGUUUGCAUGUACGGGGAAUAUGGCAAAGCUAUCAGAGAAUUGAGUUCAUAAACUUGACUGCUCCAAAGUUAUUGGACACGUUUAGAACAUCAGUUGGUGCUGGGAUCGUCUUACCAACUAGUCUCUUCCUAGUCGUCUCUUUUCUCUAUAUUUUAUUGGAUGAAAAGUGAGAUGAUUAUCAACAAAACUUGUUAUUAAGGUGGUGAGAAGUAACAGAUGUUUACAUCCACAGACAAAAAAAAGACUUUAUUAUUGGAGACGACUUUCAGAAUUAAAUUAGAGUUAUAAGAACACAAGAUAUUUAUAGAACAUCUCUAAUCUUAAAAAAAAAAAUCUUAGUGUACAUCAGACUCAUGGGUUUAGGUAGGCGUGGGCAUAAAAUUCGGAACCCGAAAUCCAAAUCGAAUCCGAACCGAAAAACCCGAUCCGUUAUCCGACCCGAAACGUAAAAAUACCCGAACGGGUCUUGUAGGGUGGUACAAAAAAUAUCUUAACCCGAAGUGUUAUUAACCGAACCCGAACGGGUAACCCGAAAAAUCCAAAAUUAAUAGUCAAUAUAAAUAUUUUGAAAUAUAUAUAAGUAUUCCAAUUAUUAAAUUCAAUAUUUGUGGUAAUAUUAGUUAGAUCUCAUAACCGAUACAAUUUCCAAUGAUGUAAUGCAUUUAAUGCAUAUCAACAAAACCAUUGUUUAAAGGAGAUUCGCAAGAAGAAGUCUCCUGACAUCACCUUCCUGAUAGAAUCAAAAAAUACAGAGGAAACAAUUAGAAAAGAACUCUACUGGCUGAAAGAAGAAAACAACUUCAUAGUUCCCCCACAUCUGGAGGUGGAGGCUUGAUUCUCAGUUGGAAGAAAGAUGUAGAUGUAACAGUCCUAUCAUCCUCCCAAAACUACAUAGACACGAGGAUCAUCUCAAAGGGAAAAUCAUUCCUAGCUACCUUUGUUUAUGGUGAACCAGACCACACAAAGGGAAAUGCAUUUUGGUCUACUCUAUCCUUUCUACACCCAAACCCGAAAGGCCCAUGGUUCCUAACUGGAGACUUCAACGAACUAAUCGACAAUAGUGAGAAGAAAGGAGGCCCAAUAAGAGCGGAAGGUACUUUUUUGGAGCUUUUCGAACCUUCCUCUCAGAGAAUGAUCUGUUUGAUCUUAAACACUCUGGUAAUCUCUUCUCAUGGAGAGGUAAAAGAGGAGAUCACCUAGUGCGAUGCCGCUUUGACAGAUCCCUCAGCAAUCCUGAAUGGACAGAGCUCUUCCCUUNNNNNNNNNNNNCCUGCAAUGAGAUGCUUGCCACUAAGGAGUCUGCUCAGAUGUAUGCUGAGCGUUUGGCUGAGCUUGCUACUUCUCUAGGUUUCGAUGGAUGGCUGGUGAGUUUUGUCUUUUGGUAGAUACUUCUUGAUUCUUCUGUUCAUCUGCGUUUGAAGUGUAAGCUCUUACCUGCAGAUAAAUAUAGAGAACGAAAUAGAUAAAGAACAGAUUCCUAAUUUGAUGGAGUUCGUCAGCCAUCUAACAGAAGUCUUGCAUUUAUCCACUCCUGGGUCUUUGGUUAUAUGGUGAGUUGUUCACAAGUGUUUCUUUUGGUGAAACCACUUUGAAUCUGAUCACUUCUUUUUGCAGGUACGAUAGUGUCACUGUUCAUGGCCAUCUUAAAUGGCAAGAUCAUUUGAAUGAAAAGAACAAACCUUUCUUUGACUUGUGUGAUGGAAUCUUCAUGAACUAUACAUGGAAGGUACCGUUCAAUUUCUUCAGUUUGUGUUUCUUCUAUAUGCAUUUGCCUGUUAUUUGAGUGGGUGAUGGUAUUUCAGGAGAGCUACCCAAAAUUAUCAGCUGAAGUUGCAGGUGACAGAAAAUAUGAUGUUUACAUGGGAAUUGAUGUCUUCGGUCGCGGCUCCUUUGGUGGUGGUCAAUGGACUGUAUGUUUUCAGAAACUCUUGUGAAAACCAACCAAUAAUUUUUCAUAUUAUUCUUCUUCAUUGUCUCAGUAGUCUAUAUAUGAUAGGUUAAUACUGCUCUUGAUUUGCUUAAGAGAAACAAUGUAUCGGCUGCCAUUUUCGCUCCUGGAUGGGUAUAUGAGACUGCACAACCACCUAAUUUUCACACAGCUCAGAAUAAGUAAUACUCUUCUUUUGCCUGUUUGAUUGUAAAAUAAAUUUUGCCAUUUUCUUUUUCAUCUUAUUAUCGUUCAUGCUUUUUUUCUUCAGGUGGUGGUCACUUGUUGAGAAGUCAUGGGGAAUAGUCCAAACAUAUCCACAAGCGUUGCCAUUUUACUCGGAUUUCAAUCAGGUCAAGUGAGAUUGAUUUCAACUUUCUUCCCAUCUUGUUAGAAUAACACCAGGGUAAAGUAUGAAUUGACUGUCUUGCCCAUGAUUUAUGUUCUGAAAAACUCUGUUCUUGCUUAUCCAGGGCUUUGGUAACCAUGUAUCACUCGAGGGUCGCCAGUUAUCUGAUGCUCCGUGGUACAACAUUUCUUGCCAAAGUCUUCAGGUUCAAUCUUAUUGUCCACUCUUUAACUGCACAUAUAAUAUUUACACGAACCAAAAACUUAUUUUCUUGAUCUGGGUUUGUCUCUCCUCUCAUCUGAUUGUUGUGUUAUUAAUGUUAGCCACUCCUCGAGUUCAAGGAAGACAACACUGAUAUCAUACAGGUCACUAUUGAGUGAGUUCUGGCCCCUGAUACUAAAAAAAAUGUUUUUAACUUCUUGUUGAUUUAGAUACAUUUGUUUGCAAACGGAUAACGGUGAGCACAUGACUUUGUUUAGUACUAGAGAUGCAUCUUAUAACGGAGGAGGGAACAUCGUUUUUAAAGGAAGACUCAAGGGAGAUGUGUAUUUCACAGCAAGGCUCUUUAAACCUCUCCUUCAUCUUUCUUCUUCCCCCAUCACAGUCUCCUACUCUGUAAGUCCCUUGCUUUUAGAUACAUCACAUUAUGAGAUGAUCUUGUUUCUCUUCCUAAUGGAUGAUUUUGGAUUUGGUGCAGGUGAAAUCAGAUGAGACUUUUAAACUUGGACUCCUGCUUUCUUUCUCGUCCGCAUCACACGGGACUAAAUCCAUACUUGUGGCGCCACAAGAACCCAUCCCUAGAUUAGAUCACAUGUUCUUGAAGUGCCUCGUUACAUCAGAGCAGACUGUAUCAGAGUGGACGGUACACGAGACAAGCCUUGUCAUGGAUGAACACACACUAACUGAAAUCUCUGCCUUUUGCUACAGAACAGAGAACUCGACGAAGGCAUCAGAGUACGUUGCAUUGCUCGGUCACAUUUCAAUCAAAGAUCAUGUUCAGCUCCUCCAGCAAAACUUCGUUUCCUUACCUCCAGCAUCAUCAUGGGUCAUCGAGGCUCAUAACAUAGAGCUCAUGGUAGAUUCGGACGUGAAAGGGGUCAGCUUCGUGGUGCAACCGUGUGGUGAAGAUGGGUUAUGGAGAAAGCUUGAUGAUUCCCCUAACCUUCUUGUGGACUUGGAGGGUCUCUCGUAGGUUGCUGGAAACAAUGAAACGAUUCAUAAUGUAUAUUACAAAAUUACAUUAAUCUAGAAAGUGGGGAAAACAUGAUAAAAAAACCUGAACUGAUAACAGAUCAUCGUACAACUUCUUAAAAAUAUAAUUAAUGUACACUAAUGUAUUUUAUAAUUAUAAAGAGAUCUUUUCCUUGUGCUAUAUCGCACUAUUCUAUCUCUACAAAUUUUUGUGCUAUACGGUAUUUGUAA
rnacentral:lncRNA from 1 species